GCCGUGUCCCUCCUCCUGACCUCUUGCUUCCUGCCUCUUCGCCCCGCCCACUUCCAGGUCGUUGCACUCGCCGCUCGCUGCAGAAUACAGGUCUGGCGUCUCACCUGCAGUCGAGGCGAUUAUCCAGGGUGGUCUAUCGCUGCCGACCGGAGCGUAGCCUGCUGCACGGGGGAUACGCAGUGGCUGCCUUCCCCUGCCGCAGUGACUCUCUUCACCCCUCUCCCUCUUUGGGCGGACGCCGGUUCUACCCAGCUGGCCACCAGAACACACAAACGCUAAGCUAACUGAAGGCCGACGGUGGUGGUGGUGGUUUCCCUGGGUGGUGGUGAUCCCCUGUGUGCUGUGUGACCCCUGUUCAAGAUUUGCUUUGUGUGCACUUCACGUUUUUGCUGUGUGUUUGGGGUGCUCUCCCUUUUCUUUUUGGACUUCACUCCCCCUUGUCACCCCCUCCUCCAGCCGGUAAGCCUCAGUCUGUAUCCCCUAGUUGGGCUCUCUUCUCCUUUUUUUGGUUAUUGUGCCAAACCCUGUUGUUUUAAUUAAUAAAAUAUUUUUUUAUGAUCAUUGAACUCCGUCUCCUGCCUGCCUGAACGAACGAACCUGAGUGUCUUUCUGGUGAUAGUUCACCUUUAAUAUGGGUCCUUGGGCCCUACCCCAAGGUGGCGUUGUCGGUAAAGAGAUCCCCUACUAUAUAAAUUAAUAAUCACCCCCUCGUGUUGCCACAAAUCUGGCGUUGUCGGCAGGAUCAACUCAGUGGAGACGGAGACGUGUGUUCUGUUUUUUUUCCUUCCUCUUUGUCUUUUGGGUUUUCAGAUUGCCUGUGUGAUUGUUUGUGUGUGAAUAAGCAGCAGCUUAAGGCGAACCAGCGGGGGGGUCCAUUGUGUUUUUUUUGUAGCAGCGGUACUCAUAGCGUAGUUGCAGAAAAUGGAGGGAGAGCUACAAGAGUUGAGGGAUUUGGUGGCACAACUGAGGGCGGAGAAUGUCAGGUUGCAGCAGGAGCAGGCUGCGACCGUGCCUGGUCCUAGUGCUGCACCUACCAUUCCUGCUGAACAUCUCCCAGCAUCAUCCACUUCUACCACUCCUGUCACAGAGCGACUGGUCCUUGUACCCCGAGAUAGGAAGUGCCCAGUGUUUAGGGGUAGAUCAGGUAUAGGGCUAGAAGAGUGGAUUGAGGAAGCUCAAGCUUGCAUGAGGGCACGCCACCUGUCCCCGUUCGAUCAAGCGUACUUUCUUUAAGACCAUUUAGAGGGAGAGGCGCGUGAAGAAA